GAUGAAAACGUAGCGAAAUGCGAUAAGUAAUGUGAAUUGCAGAAUUCAGUGAAUCAUCGAAUCUUUGAACGCACAUUGCGCCCCCCAGUAUUCUGGCGGGCAUGCCUGUUCGAGCGUCAUUUCAACCAUCAAGCCCUGCUUGUGUUGGGGUCCUGCGGCUGCCCGCAGGCCCUGAAAACCAGUGGCGGGCUCGCUAGUCACACCGAGCGCAGUAGCACAUCUCGCUCAGGGCGUGCGGCGGGCUCCAGCCGUUAAAGCACCCACCUUUCGCAAGGUUGACCUCGGAUCAGGUAGGAAUACCCGCUGAACUUAAGCAUAUCAAUAAGCGGAGGA
rnacentral:misc_RNA from 1 species